AUUGAACGCUGGCGGCAUGCCUUACACAUGCAAGUCGAACGGCAGCGCGGGGCAACCUGGCGGCGAGUGGCGAACGGGUGAGUAACAUAUCGGAACAUACCCUAGAGUGGGGGAUAACGUAGCGAAAGUUACGCUAAUACCGCAUACGCACUAAGGUGGAAAGUGGGGGAUCUUCGGACCUCAUGCUCAUGGAGUGGCCGAUAUCUGAUUAGCUAGUUGGUGAGGUAAAGGCUCACCAAGGCGACGAUCAGUAGCUGGUUUGAGAGAACGACCAGCCACACUGGAACUGAGACACGGUCCAGACUCCUACGGGAGGCAGCAGUGGGGAAUUUUGGACAAUGGGGGGCAACCCUGAUCCAGCAAUGCCGCGUGCAGGAUGAAGGCCUUCGGGUUGUAACUGCUUUGUACGGACGAACGGUGAGCUCUAUACAGUUGCUAAUGACGGUACCGUAAGAAUAAGCACCGGCUAACUACGUGCCAGCAGCCG
rnacentral:rRNA from 1 species